ensembl:lncRNA
UCAUAAUUAAGCAAAUGCCGUUCUGAAACAAUUUUAAAGAAAUAUGUUCCACAUCACCAUGCUGUCAAUUACAUAUAAUAUUGUAGCAUCAUCGUGAUUUCAGUUAAAAUUAGGUCUUAGCGAAAGCAAGUCCUCAUCAUUUCUUCACGGCUUGCAGAGAACACGGGCUUCUCUGUGGGAGGGAAUGUAUUGCAAAACCGGUGGGACAAAGAAAGACAUUACGAACAAAAGACCUUGCAAAUGAGCAAACAAGCUCAGCAACUACUUGCGCCAUACAUAACACACACGAGGCGCCUGGCUCCUACAUAUGUCCAAGGGGUUGUUGCGAGGGUAUAAAAGACAUCUUCGUUCUGCACCUGCAAUUGCGUCCGUGCCUCUCCUGCCACAAUUGGCGCACGAAUAGGGACACGAAAAGCAGAGCGGGCUGAAAUAAGCACUAUCGAGAGAGCACUGAGAAGCGCGGGGCUGCGAGAAGCCCUGUCAAGAGAGAGCUGAGAGGAGCGUGGGGCUGAAAGAAGCCCUAUCGAGAGAGCGCUGAGAGAAGAGCAGAGAUGAGAGACGCCUUAUCGAGAGAGCGUUGAGAGAAACGCGAGGAUGAGAGAAGCCAUGGAGAAGGCGUUGAGAGAAACGCGAGGCUCAACAUAGAAGAAGCCUGUACAGGGGAGCGUUGAGAGAAACGCGGCUGCCCGAGGUUUCAUCGCACAGCCGAAUCACUUCUGCAGGACGGAGGUGAGCAACGGGGAACAAUGGGAACAAGUAUAACGAAGGUGCAGGAGGCUGUUUGCAAAAUAAUGGAAACAUUUUGCAGAAGCACCCACGCUAACGUGGAAAGCUCCAAUUUAUUCUCCCGUAAUGUAGAAGUAGGUGGGACUACACAGAAAUGUGGGACAAAGCGGGAGUGCGACUGUGGGACGCAGCUACGCGCUCUGAUCCUGUGGCUAAAAACCUCUUGGGUUCCUGGAGAUCAGUUUUUGAAUCACUAAAAAAACAUAUGGAGCCCACCGCUCUUCCUGUGGUGGGGGCCGCUGUAAAAAACCGCGAUGGUAAGGACAAUGGCCCUUUAGACCCCAGACAAGUGAGCCCGAGGAAGGAACCAGACUUACAAUCUCCCUGAUCCGUGUGAAUUUUGGCGAGAGAUCCGCGAAGAACCGGAGCAGGAGGGAGACUUUGGCAUCGUUCAGAGAUCGCAUUCGGCUCUCGCCUGCCCUGCGAUUUCGGUUUUUGGAUCAGGGCUCGGCUCCCCCUCUACCAGUAAUCUGAUGAGCUCUAUUAUGAAAAGUUACACUUUUUGUCUUCGUGAUUGCGAGACUUUGACACAACUUGACAGGUUCUCGAUACAUGAUGUGGAUGGGCUUUUGGGGAGAAUCUGCACAACAAAAGGCGCUGGAAUGGCAGCUAUCGGAGCUCAGCGACUCGCAGUAGAGCAUGCAGACCCUGAGCCUAUGGCUCAUCCACCACCACAGGCACUCGGCAUUUACCGUCGGCACGUGGGAGCAGGAGCUGUGGAAAGUUGCUGCUGAGACAUAGGCUUGUGUUUGGACCCUCACUCGUUCCAGCUGUUGGCACUGAUGCAGUGUAUUUUUUUCUGAACCUUUUAGCUUUUGUAGCAGUUGCUCGAUGCUCCAGAAAAUUCUAAGGUAAAAGAUCGUGGUACGCAGAUUGAGAAGGCCUAACAACAUUGGAAAUAUGCUUGAAAGUUGUGCACGUCUGAGUUCCUCCAGUACUCAGUCAAAUGCUUUAGAGCCAGGAGCACAGCUGGAAGUGGUGAAAAUACAUUGCCUCAUUGUCUUGCAGAUGUGAGGAAUGGGUCUGAGAUGUGUACCAGCAUGAUGGGUCCAGUCAUUCCCCUCAUCAUCUGCUGUAACAUGAUCACCAUGCAUUCAUCAGCGGUUUGGAUUCCAGCUCAACCAAAACAGAAUAUAUGGGUCACCCUCGCCAACAAGAUGGGACAAGACACACUUUGCUUGUCAAUUGCGUCACCAGGGAACCAUAUGAAUUGGAAUUGUUGGGAUUGGUUAGAAUGGACUAUUGAUCGUACUUCAACUAUACUGGAAAGAACCAAUCAUUCAGUGUUAGUUUAGUUGUUUAUAGGAAUGUUUCUGAACUGCGCCUUUCUUUUUAUUAAUAGAGAAGGGGGAGAUGUGGGACAAAGAAAGACAUCAUGAACAAAAGACUUUGCAGAUGAGUAAACAAGCUGAGCAACUACUUGCACCGGACAUAAACACACACGAGGCCUCUGGCUCCUAUAUGUGAUCAAGGGGUUGUUGCAUGAGUCUAAACGGUUGCCUCUCCUGCCACAAAGGCCCACCAAUUUCCUGUUACUGAGCUGAGAAAUGGUGACACUAAGUGGCCAUGAGUAAACCUACAGUGCCCAAAAUAGACUCAAGAGCAGUGGUCUUGUGUACACCAGCAUGGAUACCAGUCCUGCUCAGAACACAUGCUAUCCACACCAUGCUGCAGGACAUCUAGGCCUUAGCUUGUUGGAGCAUGACUGAGCCCCUGAUACCACAAAGGAGAGCAUAUUGCUCAGUUGGUACUGGUGUUCAGACCACUGAGCUUUAGUGGCCUGUAGCUGUCCUGAGAUCACACUGAGAGGCUGAGAGCAUCUCCAUGAAAUUUUUAGCUUAGAUGCAGGAUGGGCACUUCCUCUGUCAGCUGUGGGCACCUGGGGGAAACUCAAGAGCUUGUCUGAUCCAGGCCCCAUCCAGCUUCUUUAUAUGAAAUAUAUUAUUAAAAACAAAACAAAACAAAACAAAAAAAAACAUGGUUCCAAGUCUUCUCUAGAUACUGUUAAGAUUGCAUAAGCUUAGGGAAAUAAUAUAACUGAAGUUAUGUCAGGAGCUGGAAAUAGUAUGAGGUUCACAAGGUGAUGCUGAGGGAACAUAAAAUCUGAUGUAGUUCCUUCUCAUUUCUAUUGAUCUGAAAGAGGAACUACAUCUCAAAUGCAGUGUACCUGAUGGUUUAACUGUCCUUUUUAAGAUUUAUGUCUAAAACUGGAAAUAACCUGUCUGUUCAAUAAUUUCUUCUAUUAAUAAUCAAUAAUUCUCUUCUAUUAAUUCUAAAAGUGGUGGAAUUAGAAAAAAAAAAUUACUGAAUUCAUUCACUUGAAUGUUUGUUUCCAUGCACCAAGUAAUAAAUAUUCAUCAUGGAGAUUUACAUAAAGUGCUUUUUUUGCUGCAUGUUUUAUAUUUAUUACUGAAGAAGAUAUUUUAUGUAAUUACAAACUUCCACAUAGUCUACCAAAUUGCUUUUCAAACUCUUAAAGGGUUCACUGGAGAUGCUGCGUGCUAUUGUCAUUUUGAUUCAUAACAACCAGUUUUAACAACCUUACAAAGAAACACAGUUCUCAUUUAUAGUCUGCAUUAAGGGUAGAUAUUUGAUAUAUGUCAUCAUUAAUAAAUGAAAGAUAUUCCUUUCAGAACCACAAAAGACACUGUAAUUAACAACAUGAUGGUAGGUUGGAAAAUAGAUGGCAAACUGUAGAAGUAAUUGGCCACAUAGGGACUGUCUUCCAGUCAUUUAAAAACAGAAAUAUUUGAGGUGUAUAACAUCAAUUUAAUACAUGAUUUCAGCUGAGGCUGAUUGUUCCAAGAAUAAGAGAAUGUGUGGUUUUACAGUUACAGUAAAAAUCUUCAUCUAGCACAGCUAUUAAUCCUAGCCUGAUGUUACCAUUUAAUUAAUUUCAUUAUCAGAUUUAAAUUAAAUAUAUAUUUGACAUUAAAGGUGAAAUGUUAGGAGAAAUAACUUGUAAAAAAGCUAAUAGCCAAACCAAGGAGGGAAUGUUAUAUUUUAGUUUUUCUAAUUGCUUGAUUUAACACCAAACAUGUGUCUUCUUUGUGCAUUUUCCUGUUCCCAGUUCGGUUAGGUAAUCAUUUCUGUGUGAAUCACCAAAGAAGUAUUUUAAACUGUAUCCCAUUAACACUGAAAGAGCUGGGAAUAAAGAGUUUGUUUCUUCAGGAAAUAACAGUGUUUUAUUCCAUCAUUGCUUCCUAUAUUUUUUGUUCAUUUAAUAUAUUCCUUGUGCUUGCCUUCUGUUAUGUAUUUCUCAUAGUACAAGCACAGCAUUCACUAAUGCAUUUCCUCACAUUAAACAUUGUUCUCAGAAGACAGAAGAUCCAGUUUUACUCUUCAGUCUUAUCAUGUUGCAAAGCAUACAACAGUAAAAGUGCAACAGUUUUGUCAUUCAUUAACUUGCAAACCCAACCAUUUCCAAACAAAAGGAUGUUUGGAAGUAAGAUACUUGCUUUUCAGUGUAAGUCCAUCUAUGAUUUGCUGUGGCCUGCAUUUUUACAUUCUGUGUAACAUGAUGCUGGCUUUAAAGUUGUUGAUUUUUCUCCAGCUUUCUG